rnacentral:rRNA from 1 species
GACGAACGCUGGCGGCGUGCUUAACACAUGCAAGUCGAACGGAAAGGCCCUGCUUGCAGGGUGCUCGAGUGGCGAACGGGUGAGUAACACGUGGGUGAUCUGCCCCUUACUUUGGGAUAAGCCUGGGAAACUGGGUCUAAUACUGGAUAGGACCAUGCUGUAGGUGGUGUGGUGGAAAGAUUAGUUUCGGUAAGGGAUGAGCUCGCGGCCUAUCAGCUUGUUGGUGGGGUAAUGGCCUACCAAGGCGUCGACGGGUAGCCGGCCUGAGAGGGUGGACGGCAACAUUGGGACUGAGAUACGGCCCAGACUCCUACGGGAGGCAGCAGUGGGGAAUAUUGCACAAUGGGCGCAAGCCUGAUGCAGCGACGACGCGUGGGGGAUGACGGCCUUCGGGUUGUAAACUCCUUUCAGCCAUGACGAAGCCCUUGUGGUGACGGUAGUGGUAGAAGAAGCACCGGCUAACUACGUG